CCCCAUGAUAGUUAAAUGGCCGCAGUAAUAUGACUGUGCUAAGGUAGCAUAAUAAUUUGUCCUUUAAAUGAGGACUGGAAUGAAUGGUUUUAUGGAAAUAAGUUAAUGAUUUUAUUAUAGAAUGAAUUUAAUGUUUAAGUUAAAAUUCUUAGAUGAACCUAAAAGACGAGAAGACCCUGUGGAUCUUUACUACUUAACACUUAUUAAUAUUAAAAAAUUAAGCUCAAAGGUAGUUUGAUUGGGACGAUUCUUUAUUUAACUAAAGUUAAUAUAAUUAUUUAUGAUCCUACUUAAGGAAGUAAGAUUAAGUUACCCCAGGGAUAACAGCGUUAUAUUACCGGAUAGUUCAUAUUGAUGGUAAUGUUU
rnacentral:rRNA from 1 species